rfam:Phenylobacterium sp. RIFCSPHIGHO2_01_FTLL_70_10 rifcsphigho2_01_scaffold_60968, whole genome shotgun sequence.
GUCUUGCUGCGGCUCGCGUCGAAGGCAACCUAAUUCCAGCGACCUUAAUUGUCUCGAAGGGAGCUGUCCCUGCCCGGAGCCGUGGCUUCGGGCAACACGGCGCCCACCUGGUUAUCCAGGUCGAGGGAAUUAAAACGUCCUUCACGGCUCACGCGGCGCCGCC